UGUUUAUAACUUUCUGAUACUAUUUAAAAAAAAAAAAAAAUAAUAACAUUUUAACAAUAUCGUAAUGGUAAAACCAGUAUAGAAACGUACCCUUGCCCGACUGUAACAACAAACGUACUCGUAAAUCAUUCUCAUGUAAAGAUAAAUCGCUUAAUUUGAAAGGUACCACUAAAAUUUGAUACUCUAAAACAUGUUUAAAGAUAAUUAAUUAUUAAUUUGUCUUCACUCAAAACACUUUUUCGAAAAAAA